AUUGAACGCUGGCGGCAUGCUUUACACAUGCAAGUCGAACGGAAACAGGCCGCAAGGUGCUGACGAGUGGCGAACGGGUGAGUAAUGCAACGGAACGUGCCCAGUCGCGGGGGAUAACUACUCGCAAGAGUAGCUAAUACCUCAUACGAUCUAUGGAAGAAAGCGGGGGGCCGUAAGAGUUCGCGCGAUUGGAGCGGCCGAUGUCAGAUUAGGUAGUUGGUGGGGUAACGGCCCACCAAGCCAACGAUCUGUAGCUGGUCUGAGAGGACGACCAGCCACACUGGAACUGAGACACGGCCCAGACUCCUACGGGAGGCAGCAGUGGGGAAUUUUGGACAAAGGGCGCAAGCCUGAUCCAGCAAUGCCGCGUGCAGGAAGAAGGCCUUCGGGUUGUAAACUGCUGUUGUACGGAACGAAACGGCUCUGGUUAAUACCCGGAGCUAAUGACGGCACCGUAAGAAUAAGCACCGGCUAACUACGUG
rnacentral:rRNA from 1 species